rnacentral:rRNA from 1 species
UGCAGUCGAGCGGACAGAUGGGAGCUUGCUCCCUGAUGUUAGCGGCGGACGGGUGAGUAACACGUGGGUAACCUGCCUGUAAGACUGGGAUAACUCCGGGAAACCGGGGCUAAUACCGGAUGCUUGUUUGAACCGCAUGGUUCAAACAUAAAAGGUGGCUUCGGCUACCACUUACAGAUGGACCCGCGGCGCAUUAGCUAGUUGGUGAGGUAACGGCUCACCAAGGCAACGAUGCGUAGCCGACCUGAGAGGGUGAUCGGCCACACUGGGACUGAGACACGGCCCAGACUCCUACGGGAGGCAGCAGUAGGGAAUCUUCCGCAAUGGACGAAAGUCUGACGGAGCAACGCCGCGUGAGUGAUGAAGGUUUUCGGAUCGUAAAGCUCUGUUGUUAGGGAAGAACAAGUACCGUUCGAAUAGGGCGGUACCUUGACGGUACCUAACCAGAAAGCCACGGCUAACUACGUGCCAGCAGCCGCGGUAAUACGUAGGUGGCAAGCGUUGUCCGGAAUUAUUGGGCGUAAAGGGCUCGCAGGCGGUUUCUUAAGUCUGAUGUGAAAGCCCCCGGCUCAAC